rnacentral:rRNA from 1 species
CGCCUACAGGGCGCAGCAGUGGGGGAUAUUGCACAAUGGGGGAAACCCUGAUGCAGCGACGCCGCGUGUGGGAAGACGGUCCUCUGGAUUGUAAACCACUGUCCCCAGGGACGAAAAUGACGGUACCUGGGGAGGAAGCUCCGGCUAACUACGUGCCAGCAGCCGCGGUAAUACGUAGGGAGCGAGCGUUGUCCGGAAUUACUGGGUGUAAAGGGAGCGUAGGCGGGGAUGCAAGUUGGGGGUCAAAACUACCGGCUCAACUGGAGAAUUGCAUCAGAAACUGUUGAACUUGAGUGCAGA